UUUCUUGGCACAUACUCAAAUGAUUUUUUUCUCAUUUAAAAAAUUACAAGCUGUCUAUUCUAUUUUAUUCUCUAGUUAAAAUGUGUAGCCUGGACCCUUAUUCUGUUUUCAUAUGAGAUAUUAUUUCAGCCAGCACGUGGUCCUCCUUUACUACCCUCAUACUGCUUAUAAUAGCACAGCAGCCAGCUCAUCUCUAAUCUACCCUCUUCUUGCUAUUACCCAGUACCUGGCGUUACACAUCCGAGUCAUUCAGCUCACGCCAUUUCAGCCUCCAAAUUCAUCUGAAAUGAUGAAAAACAAGCAAAGAAGAAACACGAGAGAUUUUUUUUUUAAUCGAAAAGUGAAACAAAUGUAAUGGACAUGGAAGAUAUGAUGAAAUAGGAUAUACUGCCAUUGCCUACACUUAUUGGCAUGACAGAAAACUUGUGAUCAAAAACUUGUGACUACAAAUUAAAUUGCGAAAUAUCUAUUUUUCCCUAGAACUUUGAAUAGAAAUUAAAUCCACAUGUUUGGCAACAGAGUUUCACCAGUUCAACACUUCAGUCAAAAUGCAUUGUUAUGGUACAUUUAAUGCAAGAAGCUUUUUAUUCUCAUAAUAUUUCAUUUACUUAUUUCUGGUGGUAUAGACCUCCUAAUGAACACACACUCAUGUUAGCAGGUGAAAGAUGUUCCAUGUGGUAGACUGAGAGCAUGGGAAAGCUUAUUUAGUGAUGGUAAAUAAUGUUUUUCUGUUCUGUAGUGGUCAGUUUCACAGUGCUGGUGAUUUUCUAACCUGAAAUGAUGGGAAUUCAUCUGAGCAACAGAAAGACGAAAGACUACUGACCAGGUCAAAUGUUUCGGUACUGGAAACAUGAAGAAUUAUGGCAAACAAAGAAAAGAAAAAUGGCAAUAAACUGGGUAUUCUUUUAUUCGUAGGGAAAAAUUUUGUUAAGAGUUGAAAUGUUAGCCUUGAAUCAUGUUUGUUUGUGAUGUGACUGUACUUUUUUUUUUCUUUUUAAGAAGUACAAAUAAAAGUAUACUAUUUACAUACAACCAAAUUAACCAACAUACACAUAAUACUUAUUAUGUAUAUGGACCAGGUAUAACACUAUAAUGGUGUAGUGGAAGUAGUUUUGGUUGUGUAGGUUAAGGUAUAUUAGUAUCUUAUUUCUACACCUAUAAACUACAGUCUUAUUGUUUUAAUGUAAAAGCAUGAGCCCACCUUGGGUAGUUUCAAAAAAAAGGGAAUUUUUUUUUUUUUUUUUUUUUACUGCUUAGUCAUCCUUCUCAAUGCAAAAUCAAGGUUUUGAGAAAGAGACUGAUAUCAGACAGGGGUCAGCAUCACAAACGAGGAAGGAAAAUCCUCUCCGCACUCUUGGGUAACCCACACCCUUACGAACAUAUAGAGAAUUUGAACAUGGUGACUAUUGGUUAAAGUGCAAGUAAAAAAAGAAUGGGUGCUGUAAAGGUCUAUCUCAGCGAGCAUAGGGGAAAGGAAAUGGGCUCAGUGACCUUUGCAGCCAAUUUCCCCCGUGUUCAAACAGCAGCAUGAAAGCCGUGUCUGUUUCUGAAGUCCUGUUCAAAAUGUCAGUUGCAACUUAUCCUACCAGAAGAAGGAUUUUCUCUGAAAGUAGAUUCCCUUAUUGUUGCCCUGGGCUUUUAAGUCACUGCACAUGGAUAGCCUGACCCCCAGCUUCUUCUAAUACUGUGCACUUUCUAAGAACUGGGUACAGGUUUCAGCUUCAAAAAGAAAAAGUCAAAUUAUGUAGAAAGACGUAUGAUGAAAUUGUCUACACUUAUUGGCAUGACAAACUUGCGCGUCUUCCCGGAUGACCAAACGGAUAUUAAGAAACAUCCAUUUUCAUGACUUCUUAUUGACUUCUUGUCAGAAUGGUGAUGUUCGAAAUGACAGUAAAUUACGUCAGUAUUAGACCUUCUUGACUGUGUUACUUGCCCAAAGGAAAAAAAAAAAGGCAUUGACUCUGGUUUAUAGUCAUAUGUUUAUUAAUGGUAUCAGCAGUAUAGAAACAUAUAAAAGCAAGAAACAUGCUGUGAUGGAAUAUGAAGAACCUCAGUUUGGAAUCCAAGCAGUUUUAAUUGAUUUAUUUGGGACGGCAACAGCUAUCAGAUUAUCAUUCUCAUAACAUCUCUCUGGUCUCUGCUGGUCGUGGUAGAAUAGUUAGCUUUUUAUGGACACACAUUUGACCUUAAAUAGCACGAGGGAGAGGCAUUUUCAGUGUGAGAAACGAUGUCAUAUGACUGAAAAUUAAUCAUAUUCCAUAUUGCAAUAUUGGGUUCAUUUCGAGAACACAGGAGUGUACACCAGUCAUAUCUCAACUGCAAUUUCAAAGUCUAAUCAAUUAUAAAGCACAAUUUUGUAGGCUGAAUUUGUGAAUACUCCAUGACUUCACCUUACAGUAAGUGUUAACAUGGAAGUAGAGUGGGAAGGUGGAAGAACUGUAUUCACGCUUUUAACACCACACCUCGGCAUGAUGCAACUUACAUGUAUUAAUCAGCAGAAACUUCCAUAUGAGGAAACUUGAACUGAUCAUUCUUUUUUUUUUUCUCUACCGGAGCACUAACAGUAAACAUGACUCUAAAAAUGAGUGUUCGACAUGUAGGAUUUCCAUUUCCUUUUUGGAAAUACAAAAACAAACUUUCAGACUGUUAGUUUCUCUCUGCCUGUGCUGUGUCACCUAUCCUCACAUGGAACCACAUUUUUGCAAUAGGGGAAUUCCUGGUUCCUACAGAGACAAGUAGUUUUUUUUUUCCCUCCCUCUCCCCUUUUCCCUUUUUUUGUUUUAUGGGAACUGAGGGCUGAACCAGUGAGAUAUUUUUCCUCAGAAGCGCUGUGUAUUGAUUCAUUACGAGGGGGCGGGAGACUCCCUCCCACUGCUUCCUUCUUACUGGGAAGUGACUGCCAGGCUUACCGUACUCACAGAGCAUGAGUGAGUGAGUGUGUCCAUGAGUGAGGCAGUAACACGGACGUUCAUAAGUAUUUAAGCUGAAGAAUUUACAGUUUAUAUAUAAGUCCUUGCAUCUUUAAUGGAGAGGAUGGAUGUGUUUUGGCUCUGGAAAUUCAUCAACUAUGAGAAGUUGGUGGAUACUGAAGCAGGAACGUUUCCCAGGAAGGAGACAUAUUAAGAGUGGUAUGUCAGAUUGGGAUCAUUUUUUCCCUCUCUCAUAGCUAAUGUGGUUCCACUAAUGGCUCUAUAAAGCUGUGUCUUGGUGGAGCAGCCUCAAACUCAUGGGCAGCCUCAUGUAAGCAGCCUCAGCAUCCAGUUUCCUAUAGAAUAGGAAACGUAUAAGGCUCUUCUGAGCACUUGGCCCUGAGAACUGAAUUCCAUAGAUGGUGGUCAUGAGGAGCUCAUCUAUGGACUCAGUUCUUUUGGCAAUGUGCUCUUUAUCUACAUAACAAGCCAACUGCUCUAUAGAUGGUGUAUUUUUAUGUUGAUGAAAGUUGAAAAAAGAAAUAUUUUUUUCCCAGUCACUUAAAGUAUCUUUGUUUUCUUUUAAAUCUCUGUAAACAUGAAAUUCGAAUAUAUUUUAUAAGUAAAGAGCAAACCGUACAUGUGCUGUUUCUUUUUCUUUUCUUUUUUUUAUCUUAUAUGCACUACAUGUGAGAUAUUCUCUGUGUUUAUUUAGCAGCACGAGGGGGUGUGCUAAUCAAAUGGCUUUAGAAACAUUUCCCCUUGACUUGUGUCACACCUUUUUAUUCAGUUAUUCAGUGUUCAGAAGAUACUUAAAGGUUUAUUGUAAUACACACAGAAAAUCAUUCAUACCAACUACUUUAAAUGCUAGACUGUAUGAUGCUGAAGAUAAUUUCACAUAUGUAUUGCAUUCUAUUAUAUGUAUGUUAUGUAUGUAUUAUAUCUACAAUAUGUAACAUAUAUCAUUGUAUAAUAAGUUUACAGUGAUUCUAUGUGAGUUAACGUAUGAAAAUGUGUGUCCACCCACACACUGACCACAAAUAUGCCUUAUCUCCUGCUCCUGGUAAAUGAGUCAGGAUCAUUCCAUGGAAACUGAAAGUCAUGGACACCCUACCAAGAACAAUUACCAAGCACAACCACAGCUGAUAUCCAUUACAUUCUUACAAAAGUUGUCUGAAAUAAAAUAAACUGCAAACAAUAUAGUCACACAAAUUGCGAUAACACAUAGUUUUGUCAGUUGUAGUAGAUGAAAAUGGCAAUGAUUAAUCUGACCCAGGAAAUCCAGGUGCAUGCUGCUGUUAAAACUUGUAUUUUGACAAUAGAAUCCUUUAGGCUGGGCUAAACAAAACAAAGAUUUAAACAUUAAUGCAAUAAACUUGGUACACACUUCUGAACUUUCAUGCCACAUGUACAUUAGAGACUAUGACGGCAAAAUACAAAUCUCCAAAUAAAAAUAAACUAAUCUACUCCACAUUCAA